AUUGAACGCUGGUGGAAUGCUUUACACAUGCAAGUCGAACGGCAGCACGGACCUCGGUCUGGUGGCGAGUGGCGAACGGGUGAGUAAUAUAUCGGAACGUAUCCAAUAAUGGGGGAUAACUAAUCGAAAGGUUGGCUAAUACCGCAUGCGUCCUACGGGAGAAAGCUAGGGACCUUCGGGCCUGGCGUUAAUGGAGCGGCCGAUAUCGGAUUAGCUAGUUGGUGAGGUAAAGGCUCACCAAGGCGACGAUCCGUAGCUGGUCUGAGAGGACGACCAGCCACACUGGAACUGAGACACGGUCCAGACUCCUACGGGAGGCAGCAGUGGGGAAUUUUGGACAAUGGGCGAAAGCCUGAUCCAGCCAUUCCGCGUGAGUGAAGAAGGCCUUCGGGUUGUAAAGCUCUUUCGCAAGAGAAGAAAACUUACCCUCUAACAUAGGGUGAGGUUGACGGUAUCUUGAUAAGAAGCACCGGCUAACUACGUGCCAGCCGCCGCAGUAA
rnacentral:rRNA from 1 species